AGUCAUUUGGAGCAUCGGAAGAGAAUGCAGGUAGAGAUGCUAGUUGGAUAGCUUCUUCUUUAUUCAUUGCUAGAACAUGUUUUGGAUUAGUUUGGGGAUAUUCGAUUGACAAAAAUGAUCCUAAAAAAACUCUAGUUAUUUUAGGAGUGUU
rnacentral:lncRNA from 1 species